rnacentral:rRNA from 1 species
GUGGGGAAUAUUGGACAAUGGGCGAAAGCCUGAUCCAGCCAUGCCGCGUGUGUGAAGAAGGUCUUCGGAUUGUAAAGCACUUUAAGUUGGGAGGAAGGGCAGUAAGUUAAUACCUUGCUGUUUUGACGUUACCAACAGAAUAAGCACCGGCUAACUUCGUGCCAGCAGCCGCGGUAAUACGAAGGGUGCAAGCGUUAAUCGGAAUUACUGGGCGUAAAGCGCGAGUAGGUGGUUCAGCAAGUUGAAGGUGAAAUCCCCGGGCUCAACCUGGGAACUGCCUCCAAAACUGCAUGACUAGAGUACGGUAGAGGGUAGUGGAAUUUCCUGUGUAGCGGUGAAAUGCGUAGAUAUAGGAAGGAACACCAGUGGCGAAGGCGACUACCUGGACUGAUACUGACACUGAGGUGCGAAAGCGUGGGGAGCAAACAGGAUUAGAUAUCCGUGUAGUCC